GAUGAACGCUAGCGGCAGGCUUAACACAUGCAAGUCGAGGGGGUAGGUUACUUCGGUAAUUGAGACCGGCGCACGGGUGCGUAACGCGUAUACAAUCUACCUUUUACAGAGGGAUAGCCCAGAGAAAUUUGGAUUAAUACCUCAUAGUAUUUUUGAAUCGCAUGAUUUGAUUAUUAAAGUUCCAACGGUAAAAGAUGAGUAUGCGUCCCAUUAGCUAGAUGGUAAGGUAACGGCUUACCAUGGCUACGAUGGGUAGGGGUCCUGAGAGGGAGAUCCCCCACACUGGUACUGAGACACGGACCAGACUCUACGGGAGGCAGCAGUGAGG
rnacentral:rRNA from 1 species